rnacentral:rRNA from 1 species
GACGAACGCUGGCGGCGUGCCUAAUACAUGCAAGUAGGACGCAGUUGCGAACGGGUGCGUACCGCGUAGGUAACUACCUAUUAGCGGGGGAUAACUAUUGGAAACGCUAGCUAAUACCGCAUCCUAGUAGAUGGACCUUCGUUGUAUUAGCUAGUAGGUCGGGUAAUGGCCUAACUAGGCAACGGUACAUAGCCGACCUGGGAAGGUGAACGAGCAAACUGGGAAUGGGAAAAGGGCCAGAAUCCUAACGGAGGCAGCAGGAGGGAAACUUCGGCAAUGGGGGGAAAGCUGAACGAGCAACGGCGCGGGAGUGAAGGAGGUUUUCGGGUCGUAAAGGUCUGUUGUGAAGGAAGCGGUACUUAACCAGAAAGGGACGGCUAACUACGUGCCAGCAGCCGCGGUAAUUC